GUCCAGGUAGGGAUGUCCGGCUCCUCCUGGUCAUGUGUCGAAGUUUCCUUGGGAAAGACACUGAAUCCCAAGUUUCAUCUGUUGGAGUUAGCAGCAGAGCAAUGCAGCAUGAUUCAGUGCAGCCAACCUGCUGCUCUGCAGGCUGAGGAAGUUCAGCCCAUUGGCCUCUCACCAUAGACAAGCCUCAACUUGUCAUCUGGUCUGGUUGCUAAGAUAAGUGCCAAACAGCAGUAGAAGCGGUUAAACAGGUCACUGAGCACCACCCUGAGGAGAAGGGAAGGACUUGCAGUGAAGAAAGGCCCUCUGCUGCAAGAGUUUGGUAUGUAGUUUUGUUCAUUUCCAACAUUGCUGGAACAAUAUGGACACUAGAAUUCUGUAUCUACUAACGUUUAUGCAGUGUUUAUGUGCAAAUGGAUCCAUCAAAUUAGCUGUGAACUGAAUGUUGUUUUAAAAAAAAAAAAAAAAUUCACAAGCAAAUAUGUAAUUGGUUUUUUAAGAAAAUACUCAGAGUGAAAUAAAUUAUCAGGUCUCAUCUACAGUGUUAACAACAAAACAGUUUUUUUCCUACUACUCAGUCAGAUAUACUUACCUGUUGUGUCUUUGCUCUACGGCUUAACAGUUUUAUCAUUGUGUCUGUUACUGUGAGCUAGUGCCCUGUUGCAGUAUGUGUGUAACUAAA